GAUAAACGCUGGCGGCGUGCCUAACACAUGCAAGUCGAACGCGCUGUCGUGCUUCGGUGCGAGAGCGAGUGGCGGACGGGUGAGUAACACAUGGGUACCUAUCUUUCAGUGAGGGGAUACCGGCGAGAAAUCGCCGACAAUACCGCAUAGGCUUCUUUCUUGGCGAAAGAGAGAAGCAAAGCUACGCGAAGUGGCGCUGGAAGCUGGGCCUGUGGCCGAUUAGCU
rnacentral:rRNA from 1 species